UAUUUAUAAAUAAGAACUUGCUGGAUAGUUGGACCAAUCUACAUUUGCCCUAAUGAACAGGAAUGACAGCAGAAAAAUAUAAUUUCUAAUGUCCAUUAUUUUUUAUCCUUAGAGAUAGAUCAAUAAAACCCACAGGAAGGAAUUCUCAUCAAUAAACUACUAAUGAAACUGGAAUCACCAAUUUUACCUACUUGAAGUUGUCCUAACUGUUGGGUCACCCAGGACCACUUACUUAGUCUCUCUUCUAAUGACUUGGGAGCAUGGCCCUAAACAGGUACUGGGGAUCAAAUCCAGGACCUUGUGCCUACUAGCUAGAUGAUGGCUGUUUCCCACAAGCAGAUUCUACAAUCGAACGUUGUUUUUGCAGCGAUGGGAAUCCAAUGAACUGCCAGAAGAGAUCGAUUAAAAGGACAACCCAGAGCUCAGGAUGAAUCUCAGAAGACCACUUGCCUAGCACUUGAGCCUCUGGGUUCAAUCUCCAACAGCGCGCGCGCGCGCGCGCGCGCGCACACACACACACACACCCCUAAGGCUGAAAAACCUCAGAGAAGGCAGGAGAAUCGAUGCGAGUUCCAAGCUAGCCUGAGUUAGGUGACUUCAGGGCCAGCCUGAACUACAAAGUGAGACCCUGUCUCAAAAAAACAAAAAGAAAAAGAGGGAGGA